CGAAGGGGGCGAGCGUUAUUCGGAAUCACUGGGCGUAAAGCGUGCGUAGGCUGUUCAGCAAGUCAGGAGUGAAAGCCCAAGGCUCAACCUUGGAAGCGCUCUUGAAACUGCUGGACUUGAAUUUGGGAGAGGAUAGCGGAAUUGUCAGUGUAGCAGUGAAAUGCGUAGACAUUGACAGGAACACCAGUGGCGCAAGCGGCUAUCUGGACCAACAUUGACGCUGAGGCACGAAAGCGUGGGGAUCAAACAGGAUUAGAUACCCUGGUAGUCCACGCCGUAAACGAUGUGUGUUUGUCGCUGGGGGGUUCCCCUUCGGUGACGAAGCUAACGCGUUAAGCACACCGCCUGGGAAGUACGGCCGCAAGGUUA
rnacentral:rRNA from 1 species